AUUGAACGCUGGCGGCAGGCUUAACACAUGCAAGUCGAGCGGAGAGAGGUAGCUUGCUACUGAUCUUAGCGGCGGACGGGUGAGUAAUACUUAGGAAUCUGCCUAUUAGUGGGGGACAACAUCUCGAAAGGGAUGCUAAUACCGCAUACGUCCUACGGGAGAAAGCAGGGGAUCUUUAUGACCUUGCGCUAAUAGAUGAGCCUAAGUCGGAUUAGCUAGUUGGUGGGGUAAAGGCCUACCAAGGCGACGAUCUGUAGCGGGUCUGAGAGGAUGAUCCGCCACACCGGGACUGAGACACGGCCCAGACUCCUACGGGAGGCAGCAGUGGGGAAUAUUGGACAAUGGGGGGAACCCUGAUCCAGCCAUGCCGCGUGUGUGAAGAAGGCCUUCGGGAUGUAAAGCACUUUCAGUAGGGAGGAAGGGUGUUGUGUUAAUAGCACAGCAUUUUGACGUUACCUACAGAAGAAGCACCGGCUAACUCUGUGCCAGCCGCCGCAGUAACAC
rnacentral:rRNA from 1 species